rnacentral:tRNA from 1 species
GGUAGCGUGGCCGAGUGGUCUAAGGCGCUGGUUUUAGGCACCAGUCUCAUAGAGGCGUGGGUUCGAAUCCCACCGCUGCCA